UGCGUAGGCGGAUAAAUAAGUCAGUGGUGAAAUCUCUCGGCUCAACCGGGAAACUGCCAUUGAUACUGUUAGUCUUGAGUUCGGUUGAGGUAGGCGGAAUGUGUAAUGUAGCGGUGAAAUGCUUAGAUAUUACACAGAACACCAAUUGCGUAGGCAGCUUACUAGACCGACACUGACGCUGAGGCACGAAAGCGUGGGGAGCGAACAGGAUUAGAUACCCUGGUAGUCC
rnacentral:rRNA from 1 species